GGCCCUAAUGAUGACCAUAAUUUAAACUUUCGUUCUCCUGAGGCAAUCAAUGCUGAAAAACAUUGGAGACCUGAACUGAAGGGUUAAGAUUAUUUUCAUAGUCACUCUUGAAGAAUGUUUUUGUCUCUAUUUUUCAUUAUCUUCUUGGGCAUCUUCUCUUCAACGCUUGAGACUCAUAAUUUCAAUAGAAUGAGUCCAGAAUUUCCAAAACCAUAAUGGGUUUUCACUUUUCAGGCUCAUAUUUUGAAGGAAGUUUUGGGAAUAAAGAAUUGUGUCGGACACUUGUUUGGCUUUUGAAGCAUGACUUCCCUCUUAUGCCUUUCGUAAUUUGAUAAUAUGAAGUCUUGGACACGUUAGUGAUACACACAGGCCACAUACAUAAUCUAUGUUGAGAUACGUUAGGACAUUGGAAGGAUGUAUGGAAUGCCUCUUCAUUGAAACGAUUUUUGUUUUUCAUCAUAGCAAAGAAUAAUCAACUAAUGAGACAUCAAAAGAUUGACCCAAAAUGUGCUUAUCUCAAUGCCUUGGUUGAGGCAUUAGGAUGGAAGGUUUGAUGAAGCUUUUGUGACAAUGUCAGGGCCUUUGACCUGUAUUGUAAUAUGAUCUUGUGCUAUGUCCGAGAGAUGUGGACAUUCUAUUUUCUUAGCACUAAUCCUUCGGCUCCUAGGAGGAGGGGGGUAUUAGGUGAUUAAUUUAAGAGACCUAUGAACAACAAAGAGACAUGUUCAUAAUCAAGAGUCCAUCGAGAAUAUAUCAAAGGGAAAAACAGAUUGCAUAAUUUUUAACCAUCUAAUCCGUGGAGUUGAAUACCUUUUUAACUAGAGUUUCAGCUGGGUUCUUUCAUCAAUCUGCUGGUUCUUUCUUUAACUCUUUGUUCUGUAAAUUGUUGCUGGUUGAUCUGUAAAUUGAUUGCUGGUUGAACUAAUUGUACCUAGGACUUGCGAGAGCCGAGACAGGGAGGACAGGAGGCUCAAUGAAGUCACACUUUUAACUUCCAUAAAGACUCCUCUCCAGAUCAUUGAGUGGUCUUAAUGAUGAUUUGUUGUUGAUUCUAUGUAACACCCAAGGAUUUGGCAGACGAGAUAUGAAAUUAUUUUAUGUAAUGAAAGGUGGCUUCCAAUACGAUCAUCAAUUAUAGUUUUGUCAUAAUUGUGAUAUAUAUAAAUCCAGUAGAUGCUAAGAAAUCUAAUUGCCCAGUAUUGGAAUCCAAAUGUCAUCUGUUGUAAUAUAUUUUAUACUUGAUUGCUCAAAGAACAAGGCCAGUAUAAGGAGCCUGCCAUUUCAUUAGAU